rnacentral:rRNA from 1 species
UACGAAGGGGGCUAGCGUUGUUCGGAAUUACUGGGCGUAAAGGGCGCGUAGGCGGUCCUGAUCGUCGGAUGUGAAAGGCCUAGGCUCAACCUGGGAACUGCAUCCGAUACGGCGGGACUGGAGUGUGGGAGAGGUUGGUGGAAUUCCCAGUGUAGAGGUGAAAUUCGUAGAUAUUGGGAAGAACACCGGUGGCGAAGGCGGCCAACCGGACCACAACUGACGCUGAGGCGCGAAAGCGUGGGGAGCAAACAGG